rnacentral:rRNA from 1 species
GAUGAACGCUGGCGGCGUGCUUAACACAUGCAAGUCGAACGAUGAAGCCCAGCUUGCUGGGCGGAUUAGUGGCGAACGGGUGAGUAACACGUGAGUAACCUGCCCUUGACUCUGGGAUAAGCCCGGGAAACUGGGUCUAAUACCGGAUAGGAGCGCCUGUCGCAUGACGGGUGCUGGAAAGAUCUUUCGGUCAUGGAUGGACUCGCGGCCUAUCAGCUUGUUGGUGAGGUAACGGCUCACCAAGGCGACGACGGGUAGCCGGCCUGAGAGGGUGACCGGCCACACUGGGACUGAGACACGGCCCAGACCCCUACGGGAGGCAGCAGUGGGGAAUAUUGCACAAUGGGCGAAAGCCUGAUGCAGCGACGCCGCGUGAGGGAUGACGGCCUUCGGGUUGUAAACCUCUUUCAGCAGGGAAGAAGCGAAAGUGCCGGUACCUGCAGAAGAAGCACCGGCUAACUACGUG